AAGGAAGAAAUGAAGAUGAUUCUGUAGAUGUACGAGAGGGAUGAAAAACAGAAGGAUGGAGGAAAAAAUUCAAGUUACGCCCCGGAUCUUUAAUUGUGGCCUUAUUUGGGUUUCAUGGAGAUAAUCAUGGUGAUUUUUUCAAAUGUAUGGAUCAAUGUCAAAGGAUGCUUUUCGACUUUAGCCAUUCACAAGUUAUGGACAUCAUCUUUACUAUUAAAGAUAUUACAUUCCACUCAAAUGAAAAUAUCAUGUUAUUUGUUGGCUCGGGAAACAGUCAAGUGCCAGAAUUUGAUGUUAAAGUAACUCAUUAUCCAAUGAAUGAGCAAAAAACUUGAGGGAAGAUUGCCUGUUGCUUUACUUUCUCACGUCUUUACAAUAGCAUCUGGAACUAGAUUACAAGGAAGUGCAAUUUUAUGCUCAGAAAUUGGCUCAUUAAUCUGUUACCUUUACCUGUGAUGAAUGAUUUUACCUUACCCCAUUUUAUUAAACCAUCUAAUCAACUUAUUACUGAUAGUCAACCAUUUAAACUGAAUGACUAACAUUUCCCUGUAAGUUGUCAUUGCUUUACUAACACAACAUCUUUAAGUGAAAUUUGUUUUUACAUUAAAAAUAUAAUGUUGUAUUUAGAACUUUCUUA